GAUGAACGCUAGCGGGAGGCUUAAUACAUGCAAGUCGAGGGGUAACAGGGGCUUCGGCCCGCUGACGACCGGCGCACGGGUGAGUAACGCGUACGCAACUUACCUCCAAGCGAGGGAUAGCCCUGGGAAACUGGGAUUAAUACCUCAUGUGAUUAUGAUGCCGCAUGGUGUUAUAAUUAAAGUUCAGGCGCUUGGAGAUGGGCGUGCGUCCUAUUAGCUAGUUGGUGAGGUAACGGCUCACCAAGGCGACGAUAGGUAGGGGGCGUGAGAGCGUGGCCCCCCACACGGGUACUGAGACACGGACCCGACUCCUACGGGAGGCAGCAGUAAGGAAUAUUGGACAAUGGGCGCAAGCCUGAUCCAGCCAUCCCGCGUGCAGGAUGACAGCCCUACGGGUUGUAAACUGCUUUUGUUAGGGAAGAAACCCCUCGAUUUAUCGGGGGCUGACGGUACCUUUCGAAUAAGCACCGGCUAACUCCGUGCCAGGAGCCGCGGUAAAGUGUGACUGU
rnacentral:rRNA from 1 species